AUCGGCAUCGCUGAUGAGCGCUGGAAAACAUCUGUCGCUCGCAAUUGCCGCAAUCGCUUUCUGCUUUUGACCACGGAUGUACUGGCACUGGUACGGCAGCGAUGUGAGGAAGGUCGGCGCGGUCUCGCCCCGGCCUUUUUUGUU
rnacentral:sRNA from 17 species